GUCGUUCAACAGCCUUGGGAAGAUUUCCAAAUUUUUAUUCUGCCAAUAACAUUCGUGUACAAUCUUCGAUACAUUUUUAAAAAAAUUUUAUCAACGGAUAAUAAAAAGAAACGCGUGAUUACACAUAUUAACGUAGAAAUCCGAUUAAUCUGUUCCGCAUCCGAUAUCGAACAUGAAAAAAUUUUCAUUAGGUUACCUACUUACAAUUUUAUUUUUUAUUCUUUUUUAAAUAAGUAUUUCUCGAAAAAGCUACAACCGCAAACUUGACUGUUUUUCGUUCGAAAUCCAAGCUAUCACGCUACCGGAACUUCAACUAUGGUAAUAAGUACAUAUGUUCGUAUGGUUUCUGCGUAAAUUGCUCUUCUUCCUCUAACGUAAACAGUGUGCAGCGAGGGCAACGGAUUUGGGGAAUUUUGAAGAAAGAGAACAUUGAAUUUUAAAGCACCUAGAUCUUGAUUUCAGCCAUGGUUGGAACUUGGCUCCUGUUCUUAUUCGUAAAAUUGACGAAAUUUUUAUCUAGAAGGAAAUUUUAGUACACCUACAAAUAAUGUCUUGAAAAAGCCUAAAGCAACCACAACCACAACAUCAAAAAUCAAAUAAUAUUCACCUCGUGUUUUUUUUUUCGUUCGAAAUCCAAGUUACCUACUGAAUUACCACAGCUCAACCAUGUUAAUAGGUUUCACCCUCUUUCUUCUGUUCAAAUUGUUCAAAUAUUUAAGAAAGUAAAUCAUCAGUAACCAUGAAAAACAUAAAGAUGCGAUGCCACCAAUUGAAAUCACUUCCACAUCGGAUACGAAAUCGAACACGAAACCAACGUUAAGACCAACGCAAAAUGAUUAUUCGUACAUAAUUUAUCUAUUAUUUAACUGCAAUUACAGACAAACUAAUUAUAUCUACCCGUACAUUAAUCGAAUCACUAUUUUUCAACUUAUCUACCUAUUUUUAAUGCAAAAAAUUUAAUAAAAGAAAAGUCCGCUUAAACAUUCUUAAAAUUUA